GACCUCAGGAUCCACCAGCAGCCCAAGACACCUCGGAAGCUGGUGCAAGGACAAGCGUCGCCUGCACAUGUCAGCACAAAUGGGAACAUGAUGAGUGAUGCUGCCUGGAGUUAAAGGAGGCCAGGAGCACCAGAAGCUGGAGGAGGCCGGAGUGGAUUCUCCCCUGGAGGCUUCCGUGGGAACAUAGGCUCCUGAUACUUCGGUUCCAUCUCUUGUUUAAAGGCACCCAGCUUCUCAUUAUUUGUUACAGCACCCUGGAAAACUCACACACAAGUGAAGCCCCAACCCAUCCCCGAAGUGCCCAUCUGAGCACCCCUCGUGGAUUCUGAGCAGGGGGUCGCCACCACCAACUCCACGUCUUGCAGCCCCUCUUCCCUUCAGUCUGGCUGCCACCUUCUUCAUUGCCCUGAAAAAAAAAUAAUGAAGUUUCACCAUUUAAAGGGUUUCAGUGCAGCUUGCUAUGGGAACACUGGAGAGUAACACAAAUGGCCAAUUGUCCUAAUAGCCACCAUGGAAUGGAUGGAUGCUAACAACAGGCUCGGAGUUCUCCAUCUGUUGCCUCCUUUUAUCCACAUGAGAAUCAAACAAGUAGGUGCUGCUGGUAUUACUGUAUUUUUCUCAUUUUAAAGGUCAGGAUGGGGAGGGUUGAGGAGGUUAAGGAAGUCAUUAGAGGUUACACUGAAGUCAAGAAAGGAAAAAGGACUUAGAAACUUGUUCUUCCAACUUUAGAACCAUGGUCAGUGACCAAGGCCCUGCUUAGAACUUUCUGAAGGUCACAGCUGGCCUUCUACCUGGAGUUUUGACUUCCUUUCUGAGAAAGGAACUUGAGUGGCAAUUACAAGAAAGUUGAGAACUUCUCUUUCAUAUUUUAAGCAUUCAUUUAUUUUUUAAAUUUAUUUUAAUUUACAAAUGCUAAUUGUAUAUAUGUAUAAGGUAAGAUAUGAUAUUUUGAUAUGGCUACCUUGUAAUUAAAUGAGUCUCAUUACCAA